rnacentral:rRNA from 1 species
GACUAUACGAAGGUAUUGAAAUAAGGCUUUAAUUGAGUGCUAAAAGAAUGGUUGAACAAAGAUUAGCUUUCUUUAAAAUCAUAAUAAAAGUUAAUUUAAAAAUGAAAAAGUUUUUAUUAAUUUUUGGGACAAGAAGACCCUAUGAAUUUUUAUUUAAAAAUUUCUUAACGUUUUUAACUUUAAAAAAUUAAGAAAAAUUUAAAUUUAAUUGGGGUGAUUUUUAAAUAUAUGUAACUUUAGAAAUAGAAGUAAUUAGAACCAAAAAUUUUGGUCUUUUGAAUAAAAUACUCUAGGGAUAACAGCGUUAUUAUUUUGGAUAGUUCAUAUAGAUAAAGUAGUUUGCGACCUCGAUGUUGGAUUAGGAUACUUAAGUAAUGAAGGAAUUACAUUAAGAAGUUUGCUCAACUUUUAAAAUCCU